rnacentral:rRNA from 1 species
GACGAACGCUGGCGGCGUGCUUAACACAUGCAAGUCGAACGAUGAAGCCUAGCUUGCUAGGUGGAUUAGUGGCGAACGGGUGAGUAAUACGUGAGUAACCUACCUUUAACUCUGGGAUAAGCCCGGGAAACUGGGUCUAAUACCGGAUACGACCAAUCUCCGCAUGGGGUGUUGGUGGAAAGCGUUAUGUAGUGGUUAUAGAUGGGCUCACGGCCUAUCAGCUUGUUGGUGAGGUAACGGCUCACCAAGGCGACGACGGGUAGCCGGCCUGAGAGGGUGACCGGCCACACUGGGACUGCGACACGGCCCAGACUCCUACGGGAGGCAGCAGUGGGGAAUAUUGCACAAUGGGCGCAAGCCUGAUGCAGCGACGCCGCGUGAGGGAUGACGGCCUUCGGGUUGUAAACCUCUGUUAGCAGGGAAGAAGAGAGAUUGACGGUACCUGCAGAGAAAGCGCCGGCUAACUACGUG